rnacentral:lncRNA from 1 species
AUGUGUGUAUGUGUGUGUGUAUAUAUACACACAGAUACACGUAUGGGAAUACACAUAUUCAUAUAUGUGUGUAUGUGUGUGUGUAUAUAUACACACAGAUACAUGUAUGGGGACACACAUAUUCAUAUAUGUGUGUGUGUGUAUACACACAGAUACACGUAUGGGGAUACACAUAUUCAUAUAUGUGUGUGUGUGUAUAUAUACACACAGAUACACGUAUGGGGAUACACAUAUUCAUAUAUGUGUGUAUGUGUGUGUGUAUACACAGAGAUACACAUAUGGGGAUACACAUAUUCAUAUGUGUGUGUGUGUGUAUACACACAGAUACAUGUAUGGGAAUACACAUAUUCAUAUAUGUGUGUAUGUGUGUGUGUAUAUAUACACACAGAUACACGUAUGGGGACACACAUUCAUAUAUGUGUGUAUGUGUAUGUGUAUACACACAGAUACACAUAUGGGGAUACACAUAUUCAUAUAUGUGUGUAUGUGUGUGUAUAUAUACACACAGAUACACAUAUGGGGAUACACAUAUUCAUAUAUGUGUGUAUGUGUGUGUAUAUAUACACACAGAUACACGUAUGGGGACACACAUAUUCAUAUAUGUGUGUGUGUAUAUAUACACACAGAUACACGUAUGGGGGUACACAUAUUCAUAUAUGUGUGUAUGUGUGUGUGUAUACACAGAGAUACACAUAUGGGGAUACACAUAUUCGUAUGUGUGUGUGUGUGUAUACACACAGAUACAUGUAUGGGAAUACACAUAUUCAUAUAUGUGUGUAUGUGUGUGUGUAUAUAUACACACAGAUACAUGUAUGGGGACACACAUAUUCAUAUAUGUGUGUAUGUGUGUAUAGACACACAUACACGUAUGGGGAUACACAUAUUCAUAUAUGUGUGUAUGUGUGUGUGUAUAUAUACACACAGAUACACAUAUGGGGAUACACAUAUUCAUAUAUGUGUGUAUGUGUGUGUAUAUAUACACACAGAUACACGUAUGGGGACACACAUUCAUAUAUGUGUGUAUGUGUGUGUGUAUACACACAGAUACACGUAUGGGGACACACAUAUUCAUAUAUGUGUGUAUGUGUGUGUAUAUACACACAGAUACACGUAUGUGUAUAA